rnacentral:rRNA from 1 species
GAGUUUGAUCGUGGCUCAGAUUGAACGCUGGCGGCAGGCCUAACACAUGCAAGUCGAGCGGAUGAGAGGAGCUUGCUCCUUGAUUCAGCGGCGGACGGGUGAGUAAUGCCUAGGAAUCUGCCUGAUAGUGGGGGACAACGUUUCGAAAGGAACGCUAAUACCGCAUACGUCCUACGGGAGAAAGCAGGGGACCUUCGGGCCUUGCGCUAUCAGAUGAGCCUAGGUCGGAUUAGCUAGUAGGUGAGGUAAUGGCUCACCUAGGCGACGAUCCGUAACUGGUCUGAGAGGAUGAUCAGUCACACUGGAACUGAGACACGGUCCAGACUCCUACGGGAGGCAGCAGUGGGGAAUAUUGGACAAUGGGCGAAAGCCUGAUCCAGCCAUGCCGCGUGUGUGAAGAAGGUCUUCGGAUUGUAAAGCACUUUAAGUGGGAGGAAGGGCUGCAAGUUAAUACCUUGUAGUUUGACGUUACCAACAGAAUAAG